GGACCUGACUGCUAUCGGAUUGAUACUAAGCCAUGCGAGUCAUUGUAGUAAUACAAGGCAGACGGCUCAGUAACGCGUAGUCAACCUAACCUAUGGACGGGAAUAACCUCGGGAAACUGAGUAUAAUGCCCGAUAGAACAUUAUACCUGGAAUGGUUUAUGUUCCAAAUGAUUUAUCGCCGUAGGAUGGGACUGCGGCCUAUCAGUUUGUUGGUGAGGUAAUGGCCCACCAAGACUAUUACAGGUACGGGCUCUGAGAGGAGUAGCCCGGAGAUGGGUACUGAGACACGGACCCAGGCCCUAUGGGGCGCAGCAGGCGAGAAAACCUUGCAAUGUGCGAAAGCACGACAAGGUUAAUCCGAGUGGUUUCUGCUAAAGGAACCUUUUGUCGGUCCUAGAAACACCGAUGAAUAAGGGGUGGGCAAGUUCUGGUGUCAGCG
rnacentral:rRNA from 1 species